rfam:Microgenomates bacterium GW2011_GWB1_44_8 TW73_C0024, whole genome shotgun sequence.
GCCGUGGUGGCGGAACUGGCAGACGCGCAGGUCUCAAAAACCUGUGAGGAUAAAACCUCGUGUGGGUUCGAUUCCCACCCUCGGCA